rnacentral:rRNA from 1 species
AUACGUAGGGGGCGAGCGUUGUCCGGAAUGAUUGGGCGUAAAGGGCGCGUAGGCGGCCCGGUAAGUCUGGAGUGAAAGUCCUGUUUUUAAGAUGGGAAUUGCUUUGGAUACUGUCGGGCUUGAGUGCAGGAGAGGUAAGUGGAAUUCCCAGUGUAGCGGUGAAAUGCGUAGAGAUUGGGAGGAACACCAGUGGCGAAGGCGACUUACUGGACUGUAACUGACGCUGAGGCGCGAAAGUGUGGGGAGCAAACAGGAUUAGAUUCCCUGGUAGUCCACACUGUAAACGAUGAAUGCUAGGUGUAGGGGGUAUCGACCCCUUCUGUGCCGCAGUCAACACAAUAAGCAUUCCGCCUGGGGAGUACGGCCGCAAGGUUGAAACUCAAAUGAAUUGACGGGG